rnacentral:rRNA from 1 species
GAUGAACGCUGGCGGCGUGCCUAAUACAUGCAAGUCGAGCGAACAGACGAGGAGCUUGCUCCUCUGACGUUAGCGGCGGACGGGUGAGUAACACGUGGAAAACCUACCUAUAAGACUGGGAUAACUUCGGGAAACCGGAGCUAAUACCGGAUAAUAUAUUGAACCGCAUGGUUCAAUAGUGAAAGACGGUUUUGCGGUCACUUAUAGAUGGAUCCGCGCCGCAUUAGCUAGUUGGUAAGGUAACGGCUUACCAAGGCGACGAUGCGUAGCCGACCUGAGAGGGUGAUCGGCCACACUGGAACUGAGACACGGUCCAGACUCCUACGGGAGGCAGCAGUAGGGAAUCUUCCGCAAUGGGCGAAAGCCUGACGGAGCAACGCCGCGUGAGUGAUGAAGGUCUUCGGAUCGUAAAACUCUGUUAUUAGGGAAGAACAAAUGUGUAAGUAACUAUGCACGUCUUGACGGUACCUAAUCAGAAAGCCACGGCUAACUACGUG